rnacentral:rRNA from 1 species
AUUGAACGCUGGCGGCAUGCCUUACACAUGCAAGUCGAACGGUAACAGGCCGCAAGGUGCUGACGAGUGGCGAACGGGUGAGUAAUGCAUCGGAACGUGCCCAGUCGUGGGGGAUAACUGCUCGGAAGAGCAGCUAAUACCGCAUACGACCUGAGGGUGAAAGCGGGGGACCGUAAGGCCUCGCGCGAUUGGAGCGGCCGAUGUCAGAUUAGCUAGUUGGUGGGGUAAAGGCCAACCAAGGCAACGAUCUGUAGUUGGUCUGAGAGGACGACCAGCCACACUGGGACUGAGACACGGCCCAGACUCCUACGGGAGGCAGGAGUGGGGAAUUUUGGACAAUGGGCGCAAGCCUGAUCCAGCAAUGCCGCGUGCAGGAAGAAGGCCUUCGGGUUGUAAACUGCUUUUGUCAGGGAAGAAAUCUUCUGGGCUAAUACCCCGGGAGGAUGACGGUACCUGAAGAAUAAGCACCGGCUAACUACGUGCCAGCCGCCGCCGUAAGAC